rnacentral:rRNA from 1 species
GACGAACGCUGGCGGCGUGCUUAACACAUGCAAGUCGAACGCGCCUGUCCUCUGGGUUUCUGGGGGGUGGGUGAGUGGCGAACGGGUGAGUAACACGUGAGUAACCUGCCCCCUUCUUCGGGAUAACGGUCUGAAAGGGCUGCUAAUACCGGGUAUUCACUGGUCUCCGCAUGGGGUCUGGUGGAAAGGUUUUUUUCUGGUGGGGGAUGGGCUCGCGGCCUAUCAGCUUGUUGGUGGGGUGAUGGCCCACCAAGGCUUUGACUGGUAGCCGGCCUGAGAGGGUGACCGGUCACAUUGGGACUGAGAUACGGCCCAGACUCCUACGGGAGGCAGCAGUGGGGAAUAUUGCACAAUGGGCGCAAGCCUGAUGCAGCGACGCCGCGUGAGGGAUGGAGGCCUUCGGGUUGUGAACCUCUUUCGCCCGUGGUCAAGCCGCGACGUGGGUCGUGGUGAGGGUAGUGGGUAAAGAAGCGCCGGCUAACUACGUG